rnacentral:rRNA from 1 species
AACGAACGCUGGCGGCAUGCCUAACACAUGCAAGUCGAACGAGACCUUCGGGUCUAGUGGCGCACGGGUGCGUAACGCGUGGGAACCUGCCCUUAGGUUCGGAAUAACUCCCCGAAAGGGGUGCUAAUACCGGAUAAUGUCUUCGGACCAAAGAUUUAUCGCCUUUGGAUGGGCCCGCGUUGGAUUAGCUAGUUGGUAGGGUAAAAGCCUACCAAGGCGACGAUCCAUAGCUGGUCUGAAAGGAUGAUCAGCCACACUGGGACUGAGACACGGCCCAGACUCCUACGGGAGGCAGCAGUGGGGAAUAGUGGACAAUGGGCGAAAGCCUGAUCCAGCAAUGCCGCGUGAGUGAUGAAGGCCUUAGGGUUGUAAAGCUCUUUUACCCGGGAUGAUAAUGACAGUACCGGGAGAAUAAGCGCCGGCUAACUCCGUG